UCUUUAACUAAUGUAAUGUAAGCAAAUGGGAAAUGUGUCUCUAUAUCAUUAUGCUGAAAUCUAUCUCGUUGUUACAGGCUUUCAGAAGCUGCUGGAUCCUCUUCACUCUGACUUGCUGAUAGUUUUAUCUUGCAGCAUUAUUCUGAACGUUGCUUUCAUUUGUAUAAGAUGUAAACUGCCCUGUACACACUGUGCAGAUGAAAAGAACAGUGAUAUAUCAAAAGUGGAAUGGUCACGCAAGCAAUGCCAUGACGAGGACACACUGAAUUACGCUGCCCUGAACCUUAAGAAGCCAAAACCCAGGAGAC